UCUCAGUUCGGAUCGCAGUCUGCAACUCGACUGCGUGAAGGUGGAGUCGCUAGUAAUCGCGGAUCAGCAACGCCGCGGUGAAUGCGUUCCCGGGCCUUGUACACACCGCCCGUCAAGUCAUGAAAGUGGGCAGCACCCGAAGACGGUGGCCUAACCCUUGUGGGGGGAGCCGUCUAAGGUGAGGCUCGUGAUUGGGACUAAGUCGUAACAAGGUACC
rnacentral:rRNA from 1 species